UAUAGUACAAUUACGCUUGUAUUAAGCUAAUUAUAUUUAGUACACUAUACUAGCAUACAUAUGUAAUACUGAACUUUCAUAUUACAUAAUUUGUUUGGUAGGUACAACCAAAAAUUAUGUUGUAGAGAGUUAACAAUUAAUUAAAUCAUGCUCUGUUAAUUAACGCACCUAAAGAGUUUCGAUAGAUAGAAAAAAGGAAAAAAAAAAACCCAGAAAAAGAAAAAGAAAAAGAAAGCACUAAUGCAACGAACUCGUAACUAUGACUUCUGCACAUUGCACUUCCUGAAUUCGACUUUUGUCUCCCUCCAUUUCUUUUUUCUUUCUUUUUCUUUCAUCUGUCCUACCCUAAAAUCCGAUGUAGCAGCAUAUUCGUGAGAUGAACGAGCUCGAUGACUUUUUUCAAAAAUUUACUAAUUCUAAAAAAAAGGUCUAGGAAUUCUCUCUCUCUUUCUCUCUCUCUCUCUCUCUCUCUCUGUCUCUCUGUCUCUCUCUCUCUCUAGGUUGGUCAAUCUAUCGAGGUCUCGAAAUUCAUCGGUGUAUUUUAUCUCACUGAUCUUCGUUUCUAGCUAUCUCUUAGGAGAGAAGAGAAGCCAACUCUCAAGACAGCACACGUCGUCGUUCGUUCGGCCGACUUCGUCGAGUGUCGUUCGUUCUCCGAGCAGUGCUAAGAAUACUGCGGGCAGCCAUAUUUGGCAAUGAGACCGCGUGGCCACGGCACGUAGCCCGCGAACUUACCCGAAAGGCUACUUCUUCUUCUUCUUCUUCUUCUUCUUCUUCUUCUUCUUCUUCUUCUUCUUCUUCUUAACCUUCUUCCUUCUCUUUUUUUAAAAGAAAAAAAUAAAAAAAGAAAAAGAAAAAGAAAGAAAAAGAAAAAAGUUAAGAAGAUAACAAAAAACAAAACUAUCGUUGUUGACUACCAAUUUUUUUUCCUAAUCAAAUUUUCUGCAUCACUUGUUCUCAUAGACAUUGUUAAAAUCUCUCCUUUUUCCUUCUUUCUUUUCAAGAGGAAAGAAAAGAAAAGAAAAGAAAAGAAGUUAGAAGAAUAAAAGUAUGAUCGUAAUAAUUACUAAUUUUUUUUUCUAAUCGGAUCUUACGCAAUGGCUUUUUCGAAAAAAUUCCGAAUUUCUGCCUUAUCCUUCUCGAAAAAUAAAAGAAAAAGAAAAAGAAAAAAAAAACGAAAAAAAAAAAAAAGAAAACAUUUAAUUAUGAACAUAAGUACGAUUAUGAUUAUCACCAAUUUUUUCCUAAUCAAUUUUUUUUUGCGCAACUUCUUUGAAGACAUUUUGAAACUCAGCCAAUCUGUCUUUGGUAUCAACGACGUGGCCUAAAUGAAGAUGCAAAAAAAAGAAGAGGAAGAGAUGUAACCUCGGUUGACCCUUUUAGAUAAUCCCUCGUAAGAAUGUUAUUGGCCGAUCAAGAUAAGAAGAGAGAGAGAGAGAGAGAGAGAGAGAGAGAGAGAGAGAGAGAGCAGAGUACUUCUUUCCGUUUAUAAAUGGACCACGGUUCAAACUCCUCCAGAAUUAACUCAGAUUUAAUAUGCGAUCGAUGAUGUAGAAAGAGAGAGAGGGGGGGGGGAAGAGAGUCCGAACGAGUUUGCACUUUGGGCUAUAAAAAGUCGAGCAAGGGUUGUUAACCUGUUAGAAAAUUGCAAGAACUUUGUAAGAGAGAGUGAGAAAGAGUUAGAAAGAGGGUUGAUCGAUUAUGUUUCAUCUUUUCACUUAAGAUUUAUUUUAUUAGUAUUUUUAUUCUUUCACAUAUAUUCCAAGUAAAUGUGUGUGUGUAUAUGUAUAUAUAACGUACGAUAUAUAUAUAUAUAUAUAUAUAUAUAUAUAUAUAUAUAUAUAUAUAUAUACGUCGUACGUUAGAAACUAACCUGUCAGGAUGAUAGUAUUUUGAGAAGAACAUAUGGUUUUACGGAAUAGACGAAUAUGAUAUUUAUCUAUGUACAUACAUAUAUAUAUAUAUAUAUAUAUAUAUAUAUAUAUAUAUAAAUACAUCUAUAUGUAUGUUAGAAUAUGUUACAUCAGAUAACAGAUUCUAUUACGAGUCUAGUUCACUGAAUAAUUAGAGAUACAAUGAGAAUAAUAGGAAGAUCGAUAAUGAGUUAUUAAAAUGAUAAUGAUCAUGAGAAUAUUCUAAUAAUAAUUGAGUUUACAAAUCAGUAGUAGGAGAGAAUUUCGAAAGUUGCGUUUAAUAACGAUCGUCGUAUAUAAUUAGAUUUCACUUUCAAUUACAAAGCACUUUUGAAUCAAUGUCCAAUCUAUGCCAAUAUGUACACACACACAAACACACAUACAUAUAUGUAUGUACAUACAACUUGCGAAAUAAUUUGUGAAAGACAAGGCAUCGUAUGCGAAAAGUCAAUUGCUAUCACCUAUUACCCCUUCUCCUAUUAUUUUCAGUUAAUCGGUAUGAAAGGUUAAAGGAUAGUAUUAUAUGUAGGGUUGCGUCGCGCCCACCUUUCGAUUUGUAGGUCAGGUCAAAGAGGGGUGUGGUAAAUGGUUUAAGUGCUGAUCUUACAAUGAUUUAUAGACUACCUAUGUCUAAACUAUAUAAUAUCCAUCAAGACACACUUUAAAGGGACUUUGUAGAGACCAAUGUAAAAAAAAAAAAAAAAAGGAAAAGUGGAAAAGCACAAAAAAGAAAAA